rnacentral:rRNA from 1 species
AUUAUUUAAGAGCUAAAUAUUGUUAGUAUAUAUAAUUUAUGAAAGCAAAAAAUUAUGGCGGUAUUUUAAGCUUUUCAGAGGAAUUUGCUCUUUAAUGGAUAAAACACCAAAAUCUUACUUAAAUUUGUUAAAUCAACUUGUAUACCACUAUACAAACAAUUAAUAACUUUAAUUGUUUUAAUUUAUUAAAUUAAAGAAAAUUAAGUCAAGGUGCAGUAAAAAUUUAAGCAUGAAGUGAAUUACAUUUCUUUUUAGAGAAAAGUCUUUUGAAAACUAAUUUAGGAUUUGAAAGUAAAAUUAAAAUAGAUAUGUUAAUUUGAAUUGAGCUCUAAAAUAUGUA